GAGCAGUGAGAAGUGGACAUGGCUCACAAAAGAAGUUACAGAUACCUGCAUCCUUUAUUCUCAGUGACAAGAUGUCUUCCAGACGAGGUGGACGACCUAUCGAGCAGCAGCAACAGCUCUACGAGCAGCCGAACAAGCAGUCAUAGCAGCAGUCACACCUUCAACGAGAUAACCAGUGGCAGCGGUAGUGAGAGCGAUGGCAGCAGCGGA
rnacentral:misc_RNA from 1 species